GUUGUGGCUCAGUGGUAGAGUGCUCGCCUAGCAAGCGUGAGGCCCUGGGUUCUAUCCUCAGCACGACA
rnacentral:tRNA from 1 species